UGUACACACCGCCCGUCGCUACUACCGAUUGAAUGGCUCAGUGAGGCGUUCGGACUGGCUCGGGGAGGUUGGCAACGACCACCCCAAGCCGGAAAGUUCGUCAAACUCGGCCAUUUAGAGGAAGUAAAAGUCGUAACAAGGUCUCCGUAGGUGAACCUGCGGAGGGAUCAUUA
rnacentral:rRNA from 1 species